CUCACCCUCCGCCUCCUGCCCGUGUCUGUCCCGACAGCGGCGCGAGCCCCGGCAGGACCAAGCGUCUGCUCAGGCCGCUGGGGUACACCCAGGAAUGGACAGGAGUGUGAGAAGUGACAUGACACAAAUGCAGGCAAGGUUCUAACCUUCAUCGCUGCAGAAAACAGCCCGAAAACACAAACUGAGUGCACCCUAAAGGCUCAGAAGACAAAUAAAAAUACCUCAACAUUGAUUAUUUUUUAAAUCUCAUGAUUUCCACUUAUGAUCUUAUAGGCUUGAGUCAUGAUUUUUGAAUGCUUGGAGAUGGCAAUACUGAUUACCAUCUGCGUGGAUCUCAAGCAAUCUGUGUGCUUAGGGGCAGAUCACAUUGCCUUGUGCACAGGGUGGGGACAAACUACAUGUUGGUGAUGGAGGAUUUUUAAGGAAUCUCCCUGAGUUGAUACCUAAAGAGAUACCCUAUGUAUACAUAUCUCACACUGCAGAGAAUUUUGAGCCACAGUUAUUUACCCCCCUUUUCAAAUUGUGUUUAAACUCUUAAUCCACAUAAAUGGAAAA